CCUACGGGGGGCAGCAGUGGGGAAUAUUGGACAAUGGGGGGAACCCUGAUCCAGCCAUGCCGCGUGUGUGAAGAAGGCCCUCGGGUUGUAAAGCACUUUCAGUGAGGAAGAACGCCUGGUGGUUAAUACCCAUCAGGAAAGACAUCACUCACAGAAGAAGCACCGGCUAACUCCGUGCCAGCAGCCGCGGUAAUACGGAGGGUGCGAGCGUUAAUCGGAAUUACUGGGCGUAAAGCGCGCGUAGGUGGCUUGAUAAGCCGGUUGUGAAAGCCCCGGGCUCAACCUGGGAACGGCAUCCGGAACUGUCAAGCUAGAGUGCAGGAGAGGAAGGUAGAAUUCCCGGUGUAGCGGUGAAAUGCGUAGAGAUCGGGAGGAAUACCAGUGGCGAAGGCGGCCUUCUGGACUGACACUGACACUGAGGUGCGAAAGCGUGGGUAGCAAACAGGAUUAGAUACCCCUUGUAGUC
rnacentral:rRNA from 1 species